GCAAACAAAGGACAAUACCUAUAAACAUGUAUCACAAUUUUUAUGUUUUUAUUUUCUCUUUAUAUAUCUUAAAAUUAAAAUCCGAAUUAAAAAAGCAUUUACGCUUUUAUGAAACAUUAAAGAGGUUCAAGAAAAACAAACUUAAAACAAAUAAAAUAAGAAUAAAUAAAAACAAACUUAUGCAAUUGUUUUACCAAAAUAAAACUAAUGUAAUAAAUUUUCAGCACGAUAAAAAUAAAUAUGAAACUUUUUCUAUUAUGAAUGUCAGUAACUACGACAUUAAAAAUACGAAUACAAUUACUGCAAGUGCUAAUCAUAAGAACAGUGUUCAACAUUACGAAAGAAUAGGUAACAACAGUUGUAACUAUAAAAGUUUUAUUGAUAAACGUAAUAACAGUUAUAAAAACAUAAAGAACAUUAUUUUCGAUUUGUCUAACCCAACGGAUAACAUACGUAUGGGUAGCUUAAAUAUGGGUAACCUAAACAUGGGUAACCUAAACAUGGGUAACCUAAACAUNNNNNNNNNNAACAUGGGUAACCUAAACAUGGGUAACCUAAACAUGGGUAACCUAAAUAUGGGUAGCCUAAAUAUGGGUAGCUUAAAUCUAAAUAAAACAAACGAACGUAGUAUGUUAAACUUUUUACACUUAACAAAAAAUAUUAAACGAGUGCAUAGUAAUAUGAAUACGAUACAAUAUAUAAAAGAAAAAAGCACUAUUCAUAAAUUUUUAAAUAUUACCAAAAAAUUGUAUUUGUACAAAAAAGUAUUAGAAGGAGUGUAUGUAGUUAAUUUGAAUCAAUAUAAACAAUUAUAUGAUUAUUUUCUUUUAUAUGAAACUGUUUUCAAAAUGUAUAAUAGUGGAAUAUGCUUGUUUUUGUCACGCAGCAAUGAUGCACAAAAAGACGAAAAACAUAACAAUCGUACGAUUACUAAUUAUAUUAACAGUAAUACAAAUAUACCAUGUUAUAGUUAUAUAAACUUGAUAGCGAAUACAGAUUUACAGACCUUGGAAAAAUUAAAUAAUC
rnacentral:lncRNA from 1 species